UGAGUGCACCCACCCAUUAGGAAUUCCAGCAGGGCAUUGUGGGUGGGAUGAAUGGGGUCAGAGCCAAGGAAUGAAAUUUCGAAACCCUCGACAUCAGUGGCGCCUCUGAUGUCAGACGGACUGUGGCUGUCAGA
ensembl:lncRNA